GAUGAUCGGGCUAUCAUGCAAGUCGAACGAACUCUGGUAUUGAUUGGUGCUUGCAUCAUGAUUUACAUUUGAGUGAGUGGCGAACUGGUGAGUAACACGUGGGAAACCUGCCCAGAAGCGGGGGAUAACACCUGGAAACAGAUGCUAAUACCGCAUAACAACUUGGACCGCAGGGUCCGAGUUUGAAAGAUGGCUUCGGCUAUCACUUUUGGAUGGUCCCGCGGCGUAUUAGCUAGAUGGUGGGGUAACGGCUCACCAUGGCAAUGAUACGUAGCCGACCUGAGAGGGUAAUCGGCCACAUUGGGACUGAGACACGGCCCAAACUCCUACGGGAGGCAGCAGUAGGGAAUCUUCCACAAUGGACGAAAGUCUGAUGGAGCAACGCCGCGUGAGUGAAGAAGGGUUUCGGCUCGUAAAACUCUGUUGUUAAAGAAGAACAUAUCUGAGAGUAACUGUUCAGGUAUUGACGGUAUUUAACCAGAAAGCCACGGCUAACUACGUGCCAGCAGCCGCGGUAAUACGUAGGUGGCAAGCGUUGUCCGGAUUUAUUGGGCGUAAAGCGAGCGCAGGCGGUUUUUUAAGUCUGAUGUGAAAGCCUUCGGCUCAACCGAAGAAGUGCAUCGGAAACUGGGAAACUUGAGUGCAGAAGAGGACAGUGGAACUCCAUGUGUAGCGGUGAAAUGCGUAGAUAUAUGGAAGAACACCAGUGGCGAAGGCGGCUGUCUGGUCUGUAACUGACGCUGAGGCUCGAAAGUAUGGGUAGCAAACAGGAUUAGAUACCCUGGUAGUCCAUACCGUAAACGAUGAAUGCUAAGUGUUGGAGGGUUUCCGCCCUUCAGUGCUGCAGCUAACGCAUUAAGCUUCCCGCCUGGGGAGUACGGGCGCAAGGUGAAACUCAAAGGAAUUGACGGGGGCCCGCCAAGCGG
rnacentral:rRNA from 2 species